rnacentral:rRNA from 1 species
GAGUGAAAUAGUACCUGAAACCGGUCGCAUACAAGCCGUCAGAGCCUUGUGGGGUGAUGGCGUGCCUUUUGAAGAAUGAGCCUGCGAGUUAGUGAUGCGUGGCGAGGUUAACCUGUGUGGGGGAGUCGUAGCGAAAGCGAGUCCGAUAAGGGCGUGAGUCGCGUGUUCUAGACCCGAAGCGGUGUGAUCUAUCCAUGGCCAGGAUGAAGCGUCGGUAAGACGUCGUGGAGGUCCGAACCCACUUCAGUUGAAAAUGGAGGGGAUGAGCUGUGGAUAGGGGUGAAAGGCCAAUCAAACACCGUGAUAGCUGGUUCUCCCCGAAAUGCAUUUAGGUGCAGCGUUGCGUGGUUCUUGUCGGAGGGAGAGCACUGGAUGGUCUAGGGGGCCUAUCAGCUUACCGAAAUCAGCCAAACUCCGAAUGCCGGCAAGUGGAGCGUAGCAGUGAGACGGCGGGGGAUAAGCUUCGUCGUCGAGAGGGAAACAGCCCAGAUCAUCAGCUAAGGCCCCUAAGUGGUAACUCAGUGGAAAAGGAUGUGGAGUUGCGCAGACAGCCAGGAGGUUGGCUUGGAAGCAGCCAUCCUUGAAAGAGUGCGUAAUAGCUCACUGGUCAAGUGAUUCCGCGCCGACAAUGUAGCGGGGCUUAAGUUAUCCGCCGAAGCUGUGGCAAGCCCGUGAGGGUUUGGGUAGGGGAGCGUCCUGUGCGAGGUGAAGCUGCCGGGUGACCGUGUGGUGGAUUGUGCGGGAGUGAGAAUGCAGGCAUGAGUAGCGAAUGACGGGUGGAAAACCCGUCCGCCGAUUAUCCAAGGGUUCCAGGGUCAAGUUAAUCUGCCCUGGGUGAGUCGGGACCUAAGGCGAGGCCGACAGGCGUAGUCGAUGGACAACCAGUUGAUAUUCUGGUACCGGCUUGUCACCGUCCGUGUCGAGGUGUGUGAUGCUAAGCGUGCGAGCCUGCCUCCGCGACAUCGUUGAUGUGGUGGUGGUGUGGUGAGUGUGUGAACCGAUCAUGUAGUAGGCAAGCUGCGGAGGGACGCAGGGAGGUAGCUCAUCCCCGGCGAUGGUUGUCCGGGGCUAAAUGUGUGGACCGUCUGGUAGGUAAAUCCGCCAGGGUUGUGGUUGAGGCAUGAUGGCGAGCCCACAGGAAGUGGGUGAGUGAGUGAUCCUGUACUGUCGAGAAAAUCUUCGUGAGCGAGGUGGCUGGUCCGCCCGUACCCUAAACCGACACUGGUGGAUAGGUAGAGUAUACCGAGGCGAUCGAGAUCAUCAUGGUGAAGGAACUCGGCAAAAUGCCCCCGUAACUUCGGGAUAAGGGGGACCUGAACCGUCAAGGCUGUUACAGCUGGUAGCGGUGAGGGGCGCAGAGACCAGGGGGAAACGACUGUUUACCAAAAACACAGGUCCGUGCGAAGUCGUAAGACGAUGUAUACGGACUGACUCCUGCCCGGUGCUGGAAGGUUAAGGGGAACUGUUAGCGUUGGCGAAGCGGUGAACUUAAGCCCCAGUAAACGGCGGUGGUAACUAUAACCAUCCUAAGGUAGCGAAAUUCCUUGUCGGGUAAGUUCCGACCUGCACGAAUGGAGUAACGAUUUCCCUACUGUCUCCACCAUGAACUCGGUGAAAUUGCAUUACGAGUAAAGAUGCUCGUUACGCGCAGCAGGACGGAAAGACCCCGGGACCUUUACUAUAGUUUGGUAUUGGUGAUUGGGACGACUUGUGUAGGAUAGGUGGGAGACUGUGAAACGGCCACGCCAGUGGUUGUGGAGUCAUUGUUGAAAUACCACUCUGGUCGUUCUGGUUAUCUAACUUUGGGCCGUGAUCCGGUUCAGGGACAGUGCCUGAUGGGUAGUUUGACUGGGGCGGUCGCCUCCUAAAAGGUAACGGAGGCGCCCAAAGGUUCCC